UCACACUAGCUCUUAUCAUAGGAUUAUCUGUUGGCCUUAGAAAGCCAGAGAAGGGCGGGACAAAAAACACUGGGCAAACAGAUGAAUCUAAAAGAACAAUAACUACAACACCAAUACCAAUAAAAACAACCACCACAUACAUGCCAAUAAUAGUUGUUUCACUUGGAGCAGUAGAUUUCAACUCCAUUGACUCUCUUACAAAUCUGAAUAAUUUGAAGAAAACUGGUGUGUAUGCUAAAUUUCUGAGACCAGUCUAUCCCACGAAACAGUAUCCAAAUACACAUUCUAUAGUUACCGGCUUGUAUCCAGAAAGUCAUGGUAUGAUAGAUGAUCUCUUUUAUGACUUGAAAUUGGAUUUGAAAUUAUACUCCGAUCCUCGUAAGACGGC